CAGCGCGCUCCGGUCCCCUCGGCCUCUUGACUUCUGGAGCCAGCACGGCGGCACCUGGGGCUUCGGAACACGUGGGGACAGUCGCCGGAGGCCGGAGACUCUGUACGGGUUGUGAAAUGGAGAGAGUAUUUGUGCUGAUUUUAGAAGAAGCUGAAAAGCCUCAGGAGGCUGGAGAGAAAUCGUGUUUUAAUUUGAUAGCACAACUACAAAACUAAGCAUCAACUUCUCUACCUGCUCUUCUGGAAAGGUAAUAUGGUCGUCGUUGAGGACUCUGCCUGGGGCUUGACAAUCAAAAGAAUUCAGUCAUUUUCAUUUCAUCAGAACGCCUAGACUGGUUCCUGCUACCUCGGGAAGUCUGUAAGAAGCUUCCUGUCAGGGCCUGAAGAUUGCCUUGGAAUCGAGCUCUCCUUUAUGCUGGUUCCUGGUACCUGUUCUGCUCAUCUUACUUACAGAUCACCUGGCUCCUGCUGCCCUGCCUCAGCUUUUGACCACCUGCCUUGCCUUCCAGCUCUGGGAGCCUCCAGUUCAUCUCUGCCUUCCUUCUCAUCCACCAGCCGUUUGCUCUGAUCGCCCACAUAGUCACUGAUAGAUUUUUUUCCUUGUGUCUUGGUCUUUAACUGAUGGCAACAUCAUGACCUUUGACUCCUGUGUGUGGUUGGAAUGUGAGCCAUGUAAUAUAGUUGCUUUUGAUCUCUUCAUCUGGUUCCCCUUCAUCAGAAUUUGCUUUGCAUAUUAUUCUCCUUGAUUGUGAGCCAGGCCUUGUAGAAUCAUUUAUUUUGCACAAGGACACUAUUCCUACUCCCUUAGGAUGGUAAAGACUGAAGUGAAGAAAUGACCAAAUCCAGUUCAGCUGAUUAUUAAGCAAGGUUUAUCUGAAUGAAUCUAACAAUAGCAUUUAAUAAAGUAUUCUUGAUUGUGCUUGACCUGGGACUUACUAAUCAUACAUCUAGUGGUAGGUAGAAGCCCAUACAGGCUCUAGAGUGCCCUGCUCCUUCCUAGACCUGUAGCCUACAGCAGUGCUGGCUCUGCUUCUGCCAUCAACAGCGACAAUCACAGCACAAUUACUUUAUCUGGAAAACACACCCCAUUCAAACAACCCUACAAGGUAUUUUUCCCCCUUCUAAAAAGGAUUUAUUCAGUGAUCAUUGAGUAUCUGCUGUAUGAAGAAAACUGUAAUUAUCGGCUUUGGACUUUAUUUGGAUGUUCACACAGCCCUAGUCAGACAGUGCUUUGAUAUUUUUUCUCCUGGACUGCCUGGGCAAUGUUGCUAGGGAUAUUUUGUCUAUUGUCAAGUGGUGUGCAGAUGCAAGA
rnacentral:lncRNA from 1 species